AUUUUAUAGUUGAAUUAUAACAUCAAAUUGCAAAUUUAAAAUGAUAAAAUUUUAUUUAUUCUAAUUU
rnacentral:tRNA from 11 species